rnacentral:rRNA from 1 species
GACGAACGCUGGCGGCGUGCUUAACACAUGCAAGUCGAACGGAAAGGCCCUGCUUGUGUCGGGUGCUCGAGUGGCGAACGGGUGAGUAACCCGUGAGUAACCUGCCCUCGACUUUGGGAUAACUUCAGGAAACUGGGGAUAAUACCGGAUCGGAGCUCCUGCUGCGGGGUGGGGGUUGCAAAGUUUCGGCGGGUGGGGAUGGACUCGCGGCUUAUCAGCUUGUUGGUGGGGGAGUGGCUUACCAAGGCUUUGACGGGUAGCCGGCCUGAGAGGGUGACCGGCCACAUUGGGACUGAGGUACGGCCCAGACUCCUACGGGAGGCAGCAGUGGGGAAUAUUGCACAAUGGGCGGAAGCCUGAUGCAGCAACGCCGCGUGCGGGAUGACGGCCUUCGGGUUGUAAACCGCUUUCGCCUGUGACGAAGCGUGAGUGACGGUAAUGGGUAAAGAAGCACCGGCUAACUACGUG